rnacentral:rRNA from 1 species
UACGAAGGGUGCAAGCGUUACUCGGAAUUACUGGGCGUAAAGCGUGCGUAGGUGGUUUGUUAAGUCUGAUGUGAAAGCCCUGGGCUCAACCUGGGAAUUGCAUUGGAUACUGGCAGGCUAGAGUGCGGUAGAGGGUAGUGGAAUUCCCGGUGUAGCAGUGAAAUGCGUAGAGAUCGGGAGGAACAUCCUGUGGCGAAAGG